CGUACACCGCCGGCAAAAAGUUAACGGGCUAACAAAUAGCGGGCCGGUCGGCGGUAUCUUUUCGACUUAUUCUAGUGUCUAGUAAGUCGGCGGGUGUUUCGGCGCACCAGCUCGGAAAUGACCGAUCACGCUUUUAGUCGCGAAUUUUAUAAAGCGAAUACGGCAGAUGUGGCGGGCUCAUUCGAUGAUCGGCUUUUUUUUAUUCUACCGGCCUAUACGAUGAUAAAAUUAUCCCACACCGGGGCUAGCUACCCACCACUCGGGCCAGUGGUUUCCCGACUUGGACUAAAACCGGUACAGCCCGCAUUUUCCUAUCUCCACCGUUUUGUACCGAUAAAGCUGUUAACGGGGGAAAAACUAUACGGCGGCCUAAUAUUUUUUAACGCCAUUAAACACCUCCGACCCGAGUAGAAGGGGUGUGGAAAUAUUUUAGGCGGCGGUUUUGUCGGCACCGAUCGGAGCGGCCCCGAAGAUACAGCUACUAACCGUUUUUUUCCUUCAGUCCACCGCCCGGAUGGCGCCGCUCUUUAAACCGCCUACCACCGAGUUUCUGGCUAGGUGCUCGCCUUUAUUGUCUCGAAAAAGCGCCUUUCGGUUAAUUCUUCGGUCCGCCCCGGUUGGGAAAAACCCACUUUAUAUAUAAGGCGCGUAAAUCGGUGGAAUGUCGGAAAAAGAUGUACCAGUCGGCACUUUGGGAGGCGCUUUUCGCUAUACCGCAAAUAUUUCGCUACUCCAAAAGCCCGAGGCCCGGAUGGUUGGAUCCCGCAGUAUUUUCGUUUCUAGUCGUUCCGACCAAUUAAAUUCCAAGUUUUAGUGGAAAUUAGGCGUCCCGUUCCACCGGGUGGAAGCUCUUCCCACCUACCCUAAUUAGAAUGGUAAGCGGAUCAGAAUUUUAACCGUUUGCCCUGAAUGUCCCGACUCGGUCGGCGGAAUACGUUCUCCCACAGGUGGGCGACCUACGUUAAUUGCCCGGAGGCGCGCGCCGCCCAUCGGACCCGGAAUCCUGUAAGUAAAGGUUGGUUCCCACUAUCCGUGGCGGAAAGCGGAACGGUUAAAACCGCCGCGGAUAAACGCAACGGCAAUUCCGCUGGCCGGUUCUCACUGU
rnacentral:lncRNA from 1 species